rnacentral:lncRNA from 14 species
AAAUGUACAAGAGUAGUUUAUGCACAGCUGAAGCUGUAAUGCAGGACUUAUCUGUGGGAAAACAGAUAAUGGUAAUCUCCCUUCCCCCGCCCUUUGUUUUUUUACAGUGGUGGUCGUAAAAUUACUACGAUUGGUAGAAAUUUUAAUGUCGUGGACAGUGUGAUUAUUUCAGAUGACCAGAGAUCAAACCUCACUGUCUCUAGGUGUCCUGGAAAUGAAUCUGAAUAUCAUUACUUAACGCCAAGCCUGAGCCAUGCAACAGAGGGUAAAGUUGUCGAUAUGAUGUUAAAAGUGGAAACUACCUUUAUACCAUGUGUUAAAUUACACUAUCACCCUGACCCAGUGUUCAUUAACUACCAGCUGCACACUGAGCUCGAUCCUGAUCUGGAAUUGAAAAUAUAUGUAAGUUUGAAAGUAAUGAACUACAAUUCCUUAUUUUAAAUAGAUGUUUGGGAUAAUUUUACUGCUUACUGUAUUUAAUGACUGUUGAUUAUCUUCAAUUUUUUCCCCUCUAGAAAGAAAAUGACAACUUAAAUAUUUCUAAGACUGAGGUAGAAGUUUAUCUGUCAUAUGUGAAUGGUGCACAGACCAAAAAGAUAUGGUUCAGUGUCCAGAAUAUUACCAAAAAGCCAGACCGUAGCACCAUACUGUGCAAAUUCAAAAGGGAAGGAACAGACAAGAUUGACUUUUCCACAGUGAAAGUUUUUGUCAAAUUAGGAAAUUUUGAGCAUGAAGUCAAGCCAACAUCAUCACAUGUAUAUUUGUAUGUUCUGAUUUUGCUACCUAUUGUAGUGGGUGUCAUUAUAGGUAAGUACAAUAAUGUGUUUUCAGGUUCUUACUUGCUGAAGGCUAUAAUCGUGGCACAUAAAGACAUAUACAUACAUGCACACAU